rnacentral:lncRNA from 1 species
CUAGCUUAGAUAUUUGUUAGUUAUUCACUCAUCAUGAUAUUACCAUUUUUUAUUGUGAUAAUCGAAGUACCAUUUAGAUUGCUCGUAAUGAUAUUUUCUAUACAUACUAGAUGUAUUGCAAUCGAUUGUUACUUACCUUUGUGAACACAAUCAUCAUGGUAUUGUAUAGUUGCACUCUAUAUCCUCUACUAGGCAAAUUGCAAAUAUCUUCACUAGGGCCUAUCCAUCU